GACGUAGGAGGCGAGCGUUGUCCGGAUUCAUUGGGCGUAAAGCGCACGUAGGCGGCUUAGCAAGUCGGAUGUGAAAGCCCUCGGCUCAACCAAGGAAGUGCAUCCGAAACUGCUGAGCUUGAGUACUUAAGAGGAUCGCGGAAUUCCCGGUGUAGAGGUGAAAUUCGUAGAUAUUGGGAAGAACACCGGUGGCGAAGGCGGCGACCUGGUCCUUGACUGACGCUGAGGAGCGAAAGCGUGGGGAGCGAACAGG
rnacentral:rRNA from 1 species